rnacentral:tRNA from 1 species
AGCAGUGUGGCCCAGUGGAAAGAGCAUGUCUUAGAGUAAGAGGAUCUGGGUUCUAAUCCCAGCUCUGCCA